GCAGUAGCCUGGACAUGUUCGGCCAGCUUUUGUUGAUCGGCAGCUGUCGGCUGGUGGUCUGGUCUGGCUUUCCCAGCCUAGUCUUAUCAUCCGAAUAAACCAUCUCGGUGUUUGUAUCGCGUUCUUUUCCGUCUCAAAUCUGCGCGCUAAUUUCCGGGCUGUGACUGUGACUAGGACCUAGAAGAGUGCUUCGUUGCAGGCUGAGCCGCGUCUCUCCACAGCUGGUGCAGUUUUAGUUUUUUACGUGCGAUCAGAAUAGAUAUGAGAGUGCUAGAGACUGAUUCAAUUAGUCAGUCUUAACAGUGUAAUGGAAGCCGCUGUUUCUUGAAAUUCGUGUGUUGUGGAUUUCGGUAUGUGAACUCCGUUAGUAAUUAUUGUAAGCACAGUGAAAAACAUUCAGCCAACAUGCGGAACUUCUUUUGUUGGCGCUUGAACAGCCGAUACAAAGAACUGGAACAUAGUGAACAUGUGACAUUGCUGUGACAUCCAGUCAGCAUGACAUUUCUCUGGAUCGUGGCGACAUUUCUUCUGGCUUCGAUCAAAAAUACCCUGGCCAUUGAAAGGACUUCGCCUGGUCUGGCUAUUGAUGAAAGAC